GGUUCGUGUUGUUUAUUCUUUAGUUUUCUAUGUUGUGUCGUGUGUGCUGUUGUUUGUUUGUCCUUUUCAUUUUUAGCCAUGGCGUUGUCAGUUUGUUUUAGAUUUAUGAGUUUGACUGUCCCUUUGGUAUCUUUCGUCCCUCUUUUAUGUAAAUAACUGCAAAAAAUGUGAUACAAUCUUGAUAUGAAAGUGGAUUCCCACACUUUUUUUCAAA
rnacentral:lncRNA from 1 species